CCUACGGGCGGCUGCAGUGAGGAAUAUUGGUCAAUGGCCGGAAGGCUGAACCAGCCAAGCCGCGUGAAGGACGAAGGUGCCAAGCAUUGUAAACUUCUUUUGUCAAGGGACAAAAUCAGGCUCGAGAGCCUGACCGAGGGUACUUGAAGAAAAAGCAUCGGCUAACUCCGUGCCAGCAGCCGCGGUAAUACGUAGGUGGCAAGCGUUAUCCGGAAUUAUUGGGCGUAAAGAGCGCGCAGGUGGUUAAUUAAGUCUGAUGUGAAAGCCCACGGCUUAACCGUGGAGGGUCAUUGGAAACUGGUUGACUUGAGUGCAGAAGAGGGAAGUGGAAUUCCAUGUGUAGCGGUGAAAUGCGUAGAGAUAUGGAGGAACACCAGUGGCGAAGGCGGCUUCCUGGUCUGCAACUGACACUGAGGCGCGAAAGCGUGGGGAGCAAACAGGAUUAGAUACCCCUGUAGUC
rnacentral:rRNA from 1 species